rnacentral:piRNA from 1 species
UGGCUCUGAACUGACUGGGUAGG